rnacentral:rRNA from 1 species
UACGGAGGGUGCGAGCGUUAUCCGGAAUCAUUGGGUUUAAAGGGUCCGUAGGCGGGCGCAUAAGUCAGUGGUGAAAUUCUGUGGCUCAACCAUAGAACUGCCAUUGAUACUGUGCGUCUUGAAUUAUCGUGAAGUGGCUAGAAUAUGUAGUGUAGCGGUGAAAUGCUUAGAGAUUACAUAGAAUACCGAUUGCGAAGGCAGGCCACUAACGGUAGAUUGACGCUGAUGGACGAAAGCGUGGGUAGCGAACAGG